rnacentral:lncRNA from 1 species
GGCAUAUUCAAUGAUCGUACAAUCUCAGAAACACACAAUCUUACAGCUGUUCAACCAGCUAUUCGAUAGCCUUCUAUAUAAUCAGCCAAAAUCUUGAGGAUCAAGAUAAGCCAAUCAAUUUUUUUCAGAGAACUUGUUGCUGCUCUUAUUAUUCUCUAAAUCUGACUUGAGCAUCGGAGGAUCCUUAUUAGAGCAAAAAAUUUUGAUUUGAACUUAUUUUGUAAAUCACUCCAACACCAGCAUCCCUAUACGAGGCUCAGUCGCUUUCUCUCUGACCUCGAUCGAAUCGAGCAGCAAU